CUCGCAAAAUACACAGCCAGAAACCAGAAGUCAGAGACCCUCUCCACACAGUCCCCACCAAUGACCAGUGGCUGAAUGUUUCGUUUUUUCUCCUCCUGUAGUCCACGACUAUCUCCUUUGUCUUUGAGGUGUUCAGGAUCAGGUGUUCUCCCUGUACCACACAGACAGCCGCUGCACCUCCUCUCUAUAAGUGGUCUCAUCACCUCCAGAAUUGAGUCCCACCAUCGGUGGUGUCAUCAGCAAACUUGAUGAUAUCGUUGCUGGGGUGAGAGGGGGUGUAGUCGUAAGUAUAGAGGGUGUAGAGCAAAGGGCUCAGCCCACAGCCCUGAGGAGAGCCGGUGCUGAGGCUAAUGGCUGAGG